UCAACACAAAAAUACAUUUCUGAUUUCACAUCAUCUUCGUCUCUUCCAACACUAACGUUGACAUUCACAUAAGUUGAAGCCCUUCACUUGUUCGCCGACUAUCUCACCUGCGAUGCAAGGCAUGUUCAGGCCCGGCGAGAUGAGGUAGACAGCCCCCAGCCUCUACUCCGUCGCAACAACGCAGCAAAUCGACAACAAACUUGGGGAAUUUGGUAUAUUCUCGGUUAAUAAAACACUUUGCCAUCUUCAAAUUCCCAUUCUUUAUGUAUUAUUUCUUCUAUUCAUCUUCAAUUUAUAGUCUGAUCAGUUGAGUUGAUUAGUUUUUUGAUUCAGUGAACUGGGUCUGUACUCUUUACAUCAUUUCUAAAUUGGUUUGAAAUAAUGGGUUGGUUUAAGAAUGUAUCUCCAAAUCAUCAUUAUGUAUAAUUAGGGAUGUCUAAUUCCAUCUUUCUUACAUGGGAAGAGGAUACGACGUGCACAGUGCACAUAAGGUGCUCGAUGAAAUGCUCGAAUCAAUGGAUGUAGUUUUCAAGGCUUUUGAGAAGAUGUCUAAGCCGUGGCUGACCGUUAUCAAUCUGGUUGAUGUCCAUUCUGGUGAUCUUUUAGCUGUUUCAAAGAUUCCUGGAAGAUGAGGUGGCUUUGAAACAUUGGAGAAGUGGGUCACUGUCUCAUUUGCUGGUCAUACAACAAUUUGUUUAAAGGAUGAAUUCGGUAAUCUUUGUGAUAGGAAAGCACUAGUUCAGAUCCAUAAUUCCACAUCCGUGGACCCGAAUCGGAGAUGGAUUAACCUGACCCAGUUAGAGUAUCCAAAUACUUGACUGUAAUUUUUGGGUUAGAUUUGCUUGUAGUUUGCUUAGGCAUGAUAUAAAGCAGUUUCAUCUGAGUUUGAGCAGGGACGCCGAAUCAAAAAAUCAACCAAAGCUUUUAGUAAACGAAAUUGCUUUAGGGGAUGACAUAAGAGACCAUUUCUUGCA